GAUGAACGCUGGCGGCGUGCUUAACACAUGCAAGUCGAACGAAGCAUUUAGAACAGAUUAUUUCGGUAUGAAGUUCUUUAUGACUGAGUGGCGGACGGGUGAGUAACGCGUGGGUAACCUGCCUUGUACUGGGGGAUAGCAGCUGGAAACGGCUGGUAAUACCGCAUAAGCGCACAAUGUUGCAUGACAUGGUGUGAAAAACCCCGGUGGUAUAAGAUGGACCCGCGUCUGAUUAGCUAGUUGGUGAGAUAACAGCCCACCAAGGCGACGAUCAGUAGCCGACUUGAGAGGGUGACCGGCCACAUUGGGACUGGGACACGGCCCAGACUCCUACGGGAGGCAGCAGUGGGGAAUAUUGCACAAUGGAGGAAACUCUGAUGCAGCGACGCCGCGUGAGUGAAGAAGUAAUUCGUUAUGUAAAGCUCUAUCAGCAGGGAAGAUAGUGACGGUACCUGACUAAGAAGCUCCGGCUAAAUACGUGCCAGCCGCCGCCGUAA
rnacentral:rRNA from 1 species